rnacentral:rRNA from 1 species
GUCGAGGGGCAGCGGGGUAGUGCUUGCACUACUGCCGGCGACCGGCGCACGGGUGAGUAACACGUAUGGAACCUGCCCGCAGCAGGGGGAUAAGCGGAAGAAAUUCCGUCUAAUACCGCGUAACAACGUUGGGAGGCAUCUCCCGAUGUUUAAAGAUUUAUCGGCUGCGGAUGGCCAUGCGGCGCAUUAGCUAGUCGGCGGGGUAACGGCCCACCGAGGCGACGAUGCGUAGGGGUUCUGAGAGGAAGGUCCCCCACACUGGUACUGAGACACGGACCAGACUCCUACGGGAGGCAGCAGUGAGGAAUAUUGGUCAAUGGCCGAGAGGCUGAACCAGCCAAGUCGCGUGAGGGAAGACGGCCCUACGGGUUGUAAACCUCUUUUGUCGGGGAGCAAAGAGAGCCACGUGUGGUUCAUUGAGAGUACCCGAAGAAAAAGCAUCGGCUAACUCCGUGCCAGCAGCCGCGGUAAUACGGAGGAUGCGAGCGUUAUCCGGAUUUAUUGGGUUUAAAGGGUGCGCAGGCGGAGGUGCAAGUCAGCGGUCAAAUUGCGGGGCUCAACCCCGUACUGCCGUUGAAACUGCAUCCCUUGAGUGCGCGAGAAGUAUGCGGAAUGCGUGGUGUAGCGGUGAAAUGCAUAGAUAUCACGCAGAACUCCGAUUGCGAAGGCAGCAUACCGGCGCGCAACUGACGCUCAUGCACGAAAGCGUGGGUAUCGAACAGGAUUAGAUACCCUGGUAGUCCACGCAGUAAACGAUGAACACUAACUGUUCGGCCAAAGUGAUGGCUGAGUGGUACAGCGAAAGCGU